GGAGGGGGGUUUGUUUCUUGGAAUACAAGCUAAUAUGUUUACCACUUGAACUCCAUGUUCUCGAAUGGAGAAAGAGGGUUUAAAUGAAGUUUAUGUUGAUCGAGCUAAAAUGUGGAAGAAAGCUUGAGUUAACAAACACGGACAAUAUGACAACGACGACAUUCAGCAAGUCGUCCAUAAAAUAGUAAGUCAUUACAUGUAAUCAAACAUCACUUUUUCACAUUUCUAUAACUUACAUUAAUUUUGCUAUCUUUUUAGGAUGAGAUAUCAAUGAAUACAGAUUCAUCGUCUGUGAAUAGACACUAUUCAAAUGAUGUGUUAACUCAAGCAUUGGGUACAAAAGAGCACAAUAGUCGUGUGCGUGGGGUUGGUGGAUACGUUACUCCGACAACUUACUUUCAUUCAGUUAAGAAAACAUCAAGGGGCCGUUUGGGGGAAGGGUUGGGUUAUGGGGGGUUAGUGUUAUGAUAAACCUAGUGUUAAGAUAAACCUAAGAUUAUAAUAAGAUGUGUUUGGGGGAAGGGUUAUGAAGGAAGUGUUAUGAUAAUGUUGUGAAGAAGGAUUGAGGAAAAGUUGAAGAAGGGUUAAGAAGUGUUGAAGAAGGGUUGAGGAAGAGUUAAGGAGUUAAAACUAGGGUUACAUAACCCUUCCCCCAAACGGGGGUUGGAUUACAUAACCCUAACCCCCCAUAAUCCAACCCUUCCCCCGAACGCCCCCCAAAAGAUGAGACGAACAUUCUAGUUGAGAAUGAAGAACUCCGUAGGUAAGUUAGUGAAUUAGAGGCACAAAUUCGCUCAAACUUGUCUACACCAUUGUCUGCACAUGGGAGUUGUUCAAGGCCAAUAAUGUUGGAGGGGAUUGAAGAGAAGGGUAAGACAAUAGAAGUGGAAUCGUUGGACAAACCAAAAGAGAAUUAAAAGAAAGGGAAGGAGGUGAUGAAGAUGAAUGAACCAUAGUUGAACGUCUUGAAGGAGACGGACUUAGUAAAAAUGCCUACAGAAAAAGAAGUUGUAUGUGAAUCGACAUCAACUUUGCCAUUAAAGUUGAAGUCGAUUCUCAGAUAUGCCGAGAAGGUAAUGGAGAAAGAUUCCAGCAUCACUUUCUCACUACCUACUGACCUUUUUGGCAUUAGUCGAAAGAGUUCUGUGCUUCGAGAGGAUAUCAUUAAUCUUUGUAACAUGAACGAAGUUAAAACGUUUACAUUGGUGGCCUAUAUGAUGUACUUGUAUUCAUCUGUUCUUGGUUCGAAAGAAAAUGUGCAGUAUGUCUUUGUAGAUCCGUCCCUAAUCUCUUCAGGAAACACACAAGAAUCUUGAAUUUGAAACUUGUCUAGUAGAUUGAUGGUGUCAAAAGCAAACCAAGUAGUUCUUGCUCCUUUUAAUCCGGGGGUCAUUGGGCACUGCUCGCCAUAGAUGCGUGUGAGGAUACAGUGUUUUACCUUGACUCACUAAGGACGACAUUUAAAAGCAACUACAUGAUAUGUAACCGACACAGCAAUAGCGAUAUUUCACUUGCAAAAGAACAUUAAUAAAAGCAGGAAACAAACUUUAUGGCGAAUAGUAAAG